ACAAUGGAGAGUUUGAUCCUGGCUCAGGAUGAACGCUAGCGGCAGGCCUAAUACAUGCAAGUCGAACGAUACUCUCUGGCUUGCUAGAGAGGAAAGUGGCGCACGGGUGCGUAACGCGUAUGCAACCUACCUUAAUCAGGGGGAUAGCCCGAAGAAAUUCGGAUUAACACCGCAUAAAAACACAGGAUAGCAUUAUCCAAUGUUCAAAUAUUUAUAGGAUUAAGAUGGGCAUGCGUGUCAUUAGCUAGUUGGCGGGGUAACGGCCCACCAAGGCGACGAUGACUAGGGGAUCUGAGAGGAUGACCCCCCACACUGGUACUGAGACACGGACCAGACUCCUACGGGAGGCAGCAGUAAGGAAUAUUGGUCAAUGGAGGCAACU
rnacentral:rRNA from 1 species